CACGUGUCUGGCGCACACACAUAAGUAUAUAUAAGCAUAUGUAGUCUAACGCAUUUCAUCACACCAUUUACCAACCUCUUUCUACGGCUCAGGCUGUUUUUAACCUUUUAUAAGCAAGCUGACAGUAACCUGUAGGUAUAGAAUGGUAUAGUCCUUUCGAAAAGAUGUAAUACAACGGAGUACUGAAUAAUUAGGAAGUCACAACACCACGCAUGACUGGACGAAAUUGCAAAUAAACAAAUAGGUAGAGCUAGCAAGAGAUAAAGUCCUGACGGGGGACGUUAAAUUCCGUCACUUGACAUGUCGUCUGGUAGAAGACCGCUGUUUGAAACAAUAACAAAAUACUUCCACGUUUUAUGAGCGACCUUUGGUAUCGACUCAGGCUUUUUUGUGUACUUAAGAUUUUGAUUUAUUUCUGAUUUUUAUGACAAUUUAUUUUACUUUUGAUUCUGUGUGACUGAAGGAGGAUAGAUAGUGAAUCGUUAUGUAAAUUUUCAUAUUGAAUUAUCAAAUAAUAAAAAAGAUAUAAUAUGUUAA